ensembl:miRNA
GACAGCGUGGUGUUGUAGGGCUCCACCACUGUGUCCGACACCUUGGGCGAGGGCACCAUGCUGAAGGUGUUCAUGAUGUGGUCAGGGUACUCCUCGCGGACCUUGCUGAUG